rnacentral:rRNA from 1 species
UUCAUGGAGAGUUUGAUCCUGGCUCAGGACGAACGCUGGCGGCGUGCCUAAUACAUGCAAGUCGAGCGGACCGACGGGAGCUUGCUCCCUUAGGUCAGCGGCGGACGGGUGAGUAACACGUGGGUAACCUGCCUGUAAGACUGGGAUAACUCCGGGAAACCGGGGCUAAUACCGGAUGCUUGAUUGAGCCGCAUGGUUCCAAUUAUAAAAGGUGGCUUUCAGCUACCACUUACAGAUGGACCCGCGGCGCAUUAGCUAGUUGGUGAGGUAACGGCUCACCAAGGCGACGAUGCGUAGCCGACCUGAGAGGGUGAUCGGCCACACUGGGACUGAGACACGGCCCAGACUCCUACGGGAGGCAGCAGUAGGGAAUCUUCCGCAAUGGACGAAAGUCUGACGGAGCAACGCCGCGUGAGUGAUGAAGGUUUUCGGAUCGUAAAACUCUGUUGUUAGGGAAGAACAAGUACCGUUCGAAUAGGGCGGCACCUUGACGGUACCUAACCAGAAAGCCACGGCUAACUACGUGCCAGCAGCCGCGGUAAUACGUAGGUGGCAAGCGUUGUCCGGAAUUAUUGGGCGUAAAGCGCGCGCAGGCGGUUUCUUAAGUCUGAUGUGAAAGCCCCCGGCUCAACCGGGGAGGGUCAUUGGAAACUGGGGAACUUGAGUGCAGAAGAGGAGAGUGGAAUUCCACGUGUAGCGGUGAAAUGCGUAGAGAUGUGGAGGAACACCAGUGGCGAAGGCGACUCUCUGGUCUGUAACUGAC